rnacentral:rRNA from 1 species
CCUACGGGGGACAGCAGUGGGGAAUAUUGCACAAUGGGGGAAACCCUGAUGCAGCAACGCCGCGUGAGUGAAGAAGCAUUUCGGUAUGUAAAGCUCUAUCAGUAGGGAAGAAGAUGACGGUACCUGAUCAAGAAGCUCUGGCUAACUACGUGCCAGCAGCUGCGGUAAUACGUAGGGGGCAAGCGUUAUCCGGAUUUACUGGGUGUAAAGGGAGCGCAGACGGCAGUGCAAGUCUGGAGUGAAAGCCCGGGGCCCAACCCCGGAACUGCUCUGGAAACUGUGCGGCUAGAGUACAGGAGGGGCAGGCGGAAUUCCUAGUGUAGCGGUGAAAUGCGUAGAUAUUAGGAGGAACACCAGUGGCGAAGGCGGCCUACUGGACUGUAACUGACGUUGAGGCUCGAAAGCGUGGGGAGCAAACAGGAUUAGAUACCCCAGUAGUC